rnacentral:rRNA from 1 species
UACGAAGGGGGCUAGCGUUGUUCGGAAUUACUGGGCGUAAAGCGCACGUAGGCGGAUUGUUAAGUCGGGGGGUGAAAUCCCGGGGCUCAACCCCGGAACUGCCUUUGAUACUGGCAAUCUAGAGUCGGAAGAGGUGAGUAGGAAUUCCGAGUGUAGAGGUGAAAUUCGUAGAUAUUCGGAGGAACACCAGUGGCGAAGGGCGGACUCACUGGUCCGGAACUGGACGCUGAGGUGCGGAAAGCGUGGGGAGCAAACAGGG